UGCCACGCUAUGCAGUGUAUGAGGCUGAUAAUAAGUAGAUAAUUUCUGAAUUAGAGUUUCAUUCCAACUAGCUCUACAGCUCUCUCUAUGUUGAGCUGACUUUGAAGUCUGUCUGUAGGUUGCUGUCUGCAAGUCUGCAGGAAUAUAGCACUGAAUCUGUGAACCUGGCUUCCUGUACAAUGAUGGGCCAUUUCUGUUGUGUCCCACCUUCAACUCUAGGAGGAUUCCUGUCCCCUAGGAACCUGGAUCGGAAAAACACUCAUUUCUGCCAGCUGGUGAAAAAAACGUUAUUGUAUUAUUUUAACAUUGUAUUGUAUUUUCUGUUCAUUGCAUUUGCAUGAAAAACACCCUGGGGUCAUGUUGAUGUGAUGAAGGGUGGCUUAUAAAUUUGUAUGAAUAAAUGAAUAAAAUGCAUCACUGCAAUGCUUAACUCUGAAUGCAAAUUGAUGAGUGAAGAAGGGUAGCCCAAUUCUCAGAGCAUCUUUUUUUGCACACCAAAGGUCCCAGCUUCAAUCCCCAAUUGCAUCUCCAGGGUGAGGAGAGCGGGGAAAGAUACCCUUCCAGAAACAGUAGAGAACCACUGCUAGUCAGUCAAUGUAGACAGUGCUAAGCUAGAGAGGCCAAUGGUCUGACUCAGUGCAAGACAGUUUCCCCAUGAUCCUAUCAUGGUGAUUCCAGAGCUGGGACAACAAAUUGCAGGUUGCAAAAGGAAAAGGACAUACCUGCCAUGGCUCUAGCCUUGGAAGGUCCAAGCUGCCUCCUCCACCCACAAUCGACAUCCUCUUUGACCUGGAAGAAUAUGCAGCAUUCAAGGCCUGUGCCACAGUUUGGAUACUAAAGUAAUUCACGUAGCUGUCUUGGGACAGGAUUCUUUCAUUCUCUUCUUGGGGCAACAUCUCCAGAUUCUCCUUCUCCCUGCACUUUGUCAAACUCCUCACAGAUAAGGCAUGUUUUGGAUAUGAACAAUCAAAUGCUUUUCUCGAAUAGCUUAGACUGGCUGAAGACGUUGGCCAGUAGUAGUCCUUUUUCAUCCUUUUUUUGGUCUUCAUUACAAAGGACAAAGAGCCAUGGGCAUAUUGAAAGCAGGCAUUAUCAAGUAACAACAUUUUGUUCUGAAGACCUGUGGUUAUCCAGACUUUCCCCUCAGUUUGUAUCCUUUCCAGUAAGGAUUGUACCUCUAUGAUUAUAAAAAGUCCAUAUUGAGAGUCUGCAGAGUAAACAAAUACAUUGACUUGUCUCCACAUGGCAGGUGGUUCUUGGGGUGCCCACAGCCAAGUUUUAUGUACUACUCUUUUUGCGAAGGCAACACAGAUUUCCUUUUCCAUCAUCAGAGGUGUCAAGGUACUCAGGAAUCUUUCUCCAUUGUCAUUGUCUGGAACAAAGAGGCCGACCCAUGUCCACCUGAAAUGCAGGAGGAGUUGCACCACUCCUUGGUAUUGAAUUUCUUCCUUGGGAGCCAUUUGGUAGACAAAAGGGG
rnacentral:lncRNA from 1 species